GUCAAAGAGGGUAAAAACCCCGUAGAUGAAAUUUGGAAGGCACCUAGGAGGAUCCUGAGUACGGCGGAACACGAGGAAUUCCGUCGGAAUCCGGGAGGACCAUCUCCCAAGGCUAAAUACUCCCUAGUGACCGAUAGUGAACCAGUACCGUGAGGGAAAGGUGAAAAGCACCCCGGAAGGGGAGUGAAAUAGAACCUGAAACCGUGUGCCUACAACAAGUCAAAGCCCGUUAAUGGGUGAUGGCGUGCCUUUUGUAGAAUGAACCGGCGAGUUACGAUUGCAUGCGAGGUUAAGUUGAAGAGACGGAGCCGCAGCGAAAGCGAGUCUGAAUAGGGCGUUUGAGUAUGUAGUCGUAGACCCGAAACCAUGUGAUCUACCCAUGUCCAGGUUGAAGGUGCGGUAAAACGCACUGGAGGACCGAACCCACGUACGUUGAAAAGUGCGGGGAUGAGGUGUGGGUAGCGGAGAAAUUCCAAACGAACUUGGAGAUAGCUGGUUCUCUCCGAAAUAGCUUUAGGGCUAGCCUCGGAAUUGAGAAUGAUGGAGGUAGAGCACUGUUUGGACUAGGGGCCCAUCUCGGGUUACCGAAUUCAGAUAAACUCCGAAUGCCAUUCAUUCAUAUCCGGGAGUCAGACUGUGAGUGAUAAGAUCCAUAGUCGAAAGGGAAACAGCCCAGACCACCAGCUAAGGUCCCAAAAUAUAUGUUAAGUGGAAAAGGAUGUGGGGUUGCACAGACAACUAGGAUGUUGGCUUAGAAGCAGCCACCAUUUAAAGAGUGCGUAAUAGCUCACUAGUCGAGUGACCCUGCGCCGAAAAUGUACCGGGGCUAAACAUAUUACCGAAGCUGUGGAGUACACCUUUAGGUGUAUUGGUAGGAGAGCGUUCUAAGGGCGUUGAAGGCAGAUCGUGAGGACUGCUGGAGCGCUUAGAAGUGAGAAUGCCGGUAUGAGUAGCGAAAGACAGGUGAGAAUCCUGUCC
rnacentral:rRNA from 1 species